AUCUUUUCUCCAGCGUUCUUUAAAUCUGUGAAAGCACGUUUAACAUACCUUUCACUGUUUUGCUUGUAUUCUCUCUUGAAAUACCUGGGUAAUUGGAGCAAGAGAUGUGAGUGUGUAUGUAUGUGUAUAAGGUAACUUGAAUUAUCGAGAUUACUGUAUUUUCUCCAUUGUGUGUGGUAAGAAAUAUAAACUUCUGUAAGAGCUGUUGGUGUGAUAGGUAUAUGCUGGUAUUAAUAAUUUGAGAAGCUACAGAUGGAAAAAAUGAGUGUGGUUCUUAUUUUUUUAACCAUUAACCCUAAUUCAUUCUUCCCAAAUUUGUGAUAAAGAUCCAUUAGUGACUUUCGGGGAAGAUGACAAAUGAUUAAAGAAGAAAUAGUCACUGUUACAUCUGUUCUAGGGGGAAACUAUAAACUGGGGGAAUAAUGGUUGUGCCUUUAGUGAAGACUGAGACCCCUUUAUAAACACUUUGUAAUUAGUUUUGUGUGCUAUCAAAUCUUUUCUGAGCCCCAGACGACUAUGGGCUAUAUCAUGUCU
rnacentral:lncRNA from 1 species